rnacentral:rRNA from 1 species
CGCACCUUGCGCUCCUUGGUAUUCCUCGGAGCAUGCCUGUUUGAGUAUCAUGAAAUCUUCAAAAUAAAUCUUUUGUUCACCUACAAAUUGUAUUUUUGUUUUGGUACGUUGGAGGCUUGCAGAUUCACGUCUGCUCCUACUUUAAAUUUAUUAGCUGGAUCUCGGUGAGCUCGGUUCCACUCGGCGUGAUAAGUAUCACUCGCCGAGGACACUAGUAAAGGUGGCCGGGAUUGCGGAUGAACCGCUUCUAAUAGUCCAUUGACUUGGACAAUAAAUACUUUAUGAUCUGAUCUCAAAUCAGGUAGGACUACCCGCUGAACUUAA